UAGCAUAAAGGAAAUGGACUAAGAGAGUUCAAAAGUAUCAAUUCAUUACAGCCAAGAAAGUCCAAUAACAGUCCAUAUUAUUUACAGUAAGUUACUACAAGGAAAAGCCUAAAUCUAUAACCGAAAACAUCACUGUUUGUUCAUCUUCCAUUUGUGAUAUAUAGCAAAUGAGCUCAGGAUAGGUACCUGGAAUCAUAACAAAUAAAUACCAAUGAGUAUGUCGGUAGGAAGUAAUAACAGCAACAAAUCUAGCUCAACAAAUGCAGCAGUAAACCAAGCUAAUUGAUUCUAACCUAAUUUAUGAAACCCAAACCCAUAUUGAAGCUUCUAUUAUGGAUCAUUAAUAAAAUAGAGAACCAAUUAAACCAAAAGGAACACGCUACAAUUAGUAUUCUCAAACAUAAAACCUCAAGGAGAUAAGUAGGAGAUAAAUCCAGGUACAACUUAUUGAGCACAGAGGGAAAUUAUUUCAAACAAGUCGCAAUUCAACAAACAGACUCUAUUACUUGACCUAAAAUCAUGAAGUUCAAUUCCAAACCAAGAAGAACCAAACACCAACAACCAAAUAUACAAAAAUGAUAUGAAGGAGAAGAAAAUUAAAGAGCAAACGGGAACUUAGCUUAGGUUCCACUUUGAACCUUGAAUUUCGAAUAGUGGUCCCUUAUGCAUUGUGCUGAAAGCUCUGAAAAUCCUAGAUCGAGAUUUGGGCAGUUUCGGGGGCAUUCAGGGGACUGUGGAUGAGGAUUUGGAGUGAGGGAAGAUCAGGGGGCACUGGUGUUGGUUUGAAGUGAUUCAGAGGUGGUAGGAUUUUGGUCGUCCCUUUUGAAUAAAUAUUCGAAGUGUUCAGGUAUCGUUUGAAGGGAGACGAUGGUGGAUUUAUGGUAAGGAUGACUUGGGGGACCUAUGGUGUUAAUUUGGGUGGUGUUUGGGUGGUGGCGCGGUCUUGGGCGAUGGAGUCAGCGUCACUAUUUUGGAUAUUCGACAAGUUGGGCCAGGAUUUGAAGGCCGACAUUUAAGGCAUUGGAAAGUGGAGGAGGAGGGGAUUCGAGGGUGUAAAUUUGGCGGGUAUAGAUACCGGCCACCGCCGUGAGGCGAUUUUCGGUAGUGGCGUAAGGCGGAGCCGGCGAGAGUCAAUAGGUAUGAUGAAGAGAGGAGUUCGUUGUUAGCGCUUUUUGAGACAGUUUUAUUUAAUGCUUUGAACUAAUAGGGACCGUUGGAUGAUCACAAAAGGGCAGAAGAUAUGAUCAAAGCUUGAAGAUCUCAAAACGACGUAGUAUUAGCAUGAUACUACGUCGUUUGAGUGGUCUAGGGGACUGGUAGAUUGGAUCGGGUAAAAGGGUAUUUGGGCUUGGACUGCGGGACGGUUUGGAAGGGAUUUGUUUGGGCUGGCCUCAAAUUUGGACACUAACCUAAGUAUUCUUUCCUCCAUUUCAAUUUCUUUUUAUUUGUUUUCUUUCUCUUUUUAUUUAAUUAAUUCUCUUUUUUUUAAAUACAAAAUUAAAAUAAAAAGACCAGAUUCCAAUUGAAACUAAGAUAAUUACCUUUUCCUUUUUUUCUAAAAAUUAAUAAACAUCUAAUUUUUAAAAGAAAACUAUGAAAAUCCAGGAAUUAAAAGUAAGAGCUAAUGUUUGCUAUUUUCUGUUAUUUUUGUAAUGUCAAUUACCUAAUAAACCUAAGAAAAAUAUAAAAUUGUGUCCUAAAUGCAAAUGUGCUAUUUUAUAUUUUUUAUGAAUUAUAUCAAUUAACAAUGCACAAAAAUGCAAACAAGCACAAAAUCAUACAAUUAAUUCCCUAAAAAUUGAAAUAAUAAAAGAAAAAAAAUCCUAAUUUUAAGAAUUCUAUGGGAAUAUUUCAAGUGAGGCAAAUCAUGUGCUCACAAGGCCGUCAGGCUAAUACAAAUGACAACAAUCCUAUCCCAGACCCUUCUUUGCCACCAUCAAGAGUGGCCCAAGAGUUCUCCCAAAUCCUAUCCCAGACCCUCCUCCCUCGGGCGGGGAACUUUCAAAUCACAAAUGUCAUAUUGACCUUGCUCGAGCAAAGAGGAUACUUUAUGGGCAUUUUCAAUCGAAAUUCCUACAAGCACUUGAAGGGGUUCGUAGAUACAUGCUGGGGUAGUAAGCAGACAAAUGUGCCCGAGGAUGCUUUGGGAUUGAGGCUUUUCUCAUUCUCUCUUCGGGGUAAAGCAUUGGAUUGGUUAGAAAGGCUCCCCAAUCAUUCCAUCAUAACUUGGGAUAAGUUGGCGGAUAAAUUCAUUGGCAUGUUUUUCUCAACAAGUCAUUUGGCGGCACAUCGGGAUGAAAUCUUAGCCUUCAAGCAUGAGCCAACGGAACCUUUGCAUAAAAUUUGGGAGAGAUAUAGAAUGAUGGUGAAGGAAUUCCCCAAUAAUGACAUGAUAGAGAAUAUGUUGCAACAAAUUUUGUACCGGGGCAUCAAUACUAGAAAUCAAUGCAUAGUGAAUCAACUGGUUGGGGGUAGUUUUAUGAAGUUGACUUAUGAUGAAGCUUAUAUCAUUCUUGAUGAGAUGGCAGAAACAUCCUCCGUAUGGCAAAGUAGAGCUAACGUUCCUCAAGAUGACCCUACAGUUAUUCAUUUACACAAGGAUUUCCAUGACCAUAGACAAGCCAUAGCAGAGUUGACGGCCACUAUGAACCAAUUGGUGAAGGUGCAAUUGCAACAAGUCCAAAAUCCGUACCAAGUCAAUUCCAUGGAAGGUGUUUCUAUUCUACAAAGGAGGCAAAGAGGGCAACAACCUCAAGGAAAUUGUGAACAAUAUGAAAAAAAUGAUAGCGGUGGUUUUUCGAAUGAGUGAUAUAAUGAUCAAAGCGAAAAGGUCCAAUACAUCAACAACUACCAAGGGAAUAAAGGCAAAUCUUCGAAUCAACAAUGGCGUCCCCAAGGAAAUUGGGGCAAUUAACAAAAAGGUGAUGGCAAUUUGAACAACAACAAUCAAAGCAACAAUUGGGAAAAUCAACAAGGUGGUAGUAAUUGGAACAACAACAACCAAGGCGGUAAUUGGGCUGAUCAAGGUAACAAACAAGUUAAUUGGAAUGGGAACUACAAUAAUUUGAGAAACAACAACAAUUAAGUAGGGUGGAAUAAUAGUGGGAACCAAGUCAACCGGGAGCAAGGAUUUCAAAGGCCCAUCAUGUACCAAUAACCAUAUAAUCCACCCCAUUUUCCUUCUCAAGGUCCGAGUUCUUCCGGGAGUGAUAUUGGGAGAAUUGAAAAUAUGUUCGAGCAUAUGAUGAAAAGGAACCAAGAUUCUGAUGCACAAUUGGCUUCGCAUAAUACAUCUAUCCGUAACUUGGAAGUGCAACUGGGUCAAACUUCUCAAGCUUUGAAUACCAACCCCAAGGGUGCCCUACCAAGUGAUAUGGUAGUGAACCCAAAAGGUGUAACAACAACCAUGUGAUGGAGGUUACAACUAGAAGCGGAAUAUGCGGUGAUGUGCAUGCCUCGAGAGAAAAGUAAGUUAUGGAGAAGGAUGUUGAGUUGCGUGAUGAUGAUGUACCUUCGAUUGUUGAAGAUAUGGUUGAAAGCAAUGUUAACAUAAAGUGAGGAUAGAUAUUGAUGAGGCCGAGGUGGAAACACCAGAUGCCGUGAACUCAUCUAGGGAACACGUGAUUGAUAUGCCCGAGCUGGUGGUGCCAAAAGCCAAGGCAUCCUUUCCUAGGCCACCUCCAUCGUAUCCUCAAAGGCUCGCAAAGUAAAUAAAUGAUAAUCAAUUUAAGAAAUUUAUUGAUAUGAUGAAGAGUUUGUCCAUAAAUGUGCCUUUGGUAGAGGCACUUGAAUAAACGUCGGGCUAUGCAACAUUCAUGAAGGACUUGGUUACAAAUAAGGGGUCGAUGAGUCUGAAACAAUUAAGACGAAUCAUCAAGUGAGUUCUAUCGUACAUUCAAUGGCCCAAAGUUAGAGGACCUUAGAGCUUUUACUAUCUGUUUCACUAUUGGAAACAUGGAUCUUUCCAAGGCCCUUUCUGACUUGGGGGCUAGUAUCAAUUUGAUGUCGUACUCGAUUUUCAAGAUUUUGGGAAUUGGGCAACCUCGACCAACUUCAAUGAGACUUCAAACUGCGGAUCGAACGAUGAAGUGACCUUUGGGCAUAAUUGAUGAUGUACUUGUCAGGUGGAAAAGUUUAUAUUGUCGGCCGACUUUGUCAUCUUGGAUUCUGAGGUAGAUUAUGAGGUGUCGAUUACAUUGGUUAGACCUUUCCUUGCUAUAGGGAAGGAAUUGGUUGAUGUUGAAGCGGGUGAGCUCACUUUCUGAGUGGGUGAUUAGAACAUUGUUUUCCCUGUUUGCAAAUCCAUGAGGCAAUCUAAUGGAAGCGAGAUGUGCUCUUUUGUGGACGUUGUCACAACUAUGAUAUUGGAUGAUACAAGUUCUAUAAUUAAUGUUAAAGAUCCCCUUGUUUCCAAGCCUCUAAAGUGGGAUGUAAUUGAUGAUGGAAGAAAAGUGACGUGCAUAGAUGCUUUAUGUUACGGAAUCUUGUGAGCCCAGUAAAUUGUCUUUGGAUCUUGAAACCCAAUAAAUUCCAAUAACAAAGCCAACAACUAAGGAGUCACGGGGUUGGAAUUGACUCCAAUUUCUCCACACCUCAGUCCCACGCUCUUUAUGUCAAAAACCAUCUUGGAGAAUGAUGUGAAACCUUUCUUGGAGCAUGAUGGAAGAUUGUAUGAGGUGAUGCAAGAAGUGGGGGUCUACCCUGUUUCUAAGAAAUCUUGGAUUUCUCCGGUGCACCGUGUAUCAUGAAGGAUGGCAUGACCGUAGUGACAAAUUCUCAGAAUGAGUGGAUUCCUGCAAGAACACUCACGGGUUGGCAAGGUUGCAUGGACUAUAAAAAAUUGAACAACGUGCCCAUAAGGAUCAUUUUCCCUUGCCAUUCAUCGGUUGGAUGCUCAACCAACUUGUUGUGCGGGCUAUUUAUCGCUUCUGAGAGUUUGAUGAGAGCCACGUGGUGGCUCUUCUUUAUUUGAAGUGAUUUGUUGGUAACCUAUGUCGUGCCGUGACGUUAAAUUGGGUGCUUCUUGGGGCAACCUAUGUCUUUUUCUUUCUCUUUAAUUUUCUUUGUAGCUUUGAAUUUUUGAGCUACUUGGUUAUGGGAUGUUGCGGGGAUUGUGUUAAUUUAGUGUUAAACUAGUUGGAAAAAUUGCACAUUCUCUGAAGCUCGCUAGUGCGGUCGCGGUACACAUUGUGAAGUCCGCAUUGGCAUGGGCUAAAUGAGUGACCUCUAAAGUUAUUCACCGCGACCACAUUCCAUUUAGUAUGGUCCGUGGUGGACCUCCGCGGCUUUGUCUGCUUUUGUGAUAUCCACGAAGGUUGUCUUCUGAAGCUUCAUGUGAAUUAAUCCAGCAUUGUCCGUGUUCGCUUUUGUGCGGGCUGGUAGGUGAGUAUGGGGCCCUCAACAUUUUCUAUAAAAAGAGCCCAAGGGCCUCAGUUUACACUUUGAACUUUGAAUCCUCAGAUCCUUAAAACUACUGUUCAUACUCUUGCUUGCUUGCUUGGAUUAAUUGUAUACAAUAUUCACAAACCUGGUAACAUUUCAUCUUUGAUUGAUUAAUUUCAUAUUUUCAUUAUAUUUCCUUGCCUAGUAGUUUUUAGCUUCUUCUUUCUUCUCCUAGCUUCUUGUUUUUCAUUCACUUGUCAACUUAGGGCAAUUUACAUGCUGAGUUUGUGUGUUGGGCAUUCCUAAUGAGUGGGCAAUUGAGUAGGGACAAAGUAGGUAUAAAAAUUUUUAAAAAAUGGCAAAAAAGAAACCCUGACUUAGUGCAUGUGAAACGUAGUCUCCACGGCUUGAGGUCGCCUUAGCGCAGUCUAAGGUGCCCUAACGCAGUCCGUGGUACCUUUCUAUGUGGACCGUAGUGCUCAUACGUCUGAAAGUGAACUUGUUUCCAGCGCUUCCGUAUUGCAUUUUGUGCGGGUCCGCGCUGGCCCACCGUGGAUACAGCCUCAUUUUUUGCGGACCGCGGUGGGGAGAUAUAGAGAGUGAUUUUUUUGGCCUUUGCCCAAUGCGGACUACGGUCACCUUGGCGCGGUCCAUGGCCCCCCCAACGUGGCCGCACUCCCAUUUUGUGUGGGCCGCGGUACUUAGUUCUACAACUCUGUUUGCAACAUUCUAUCUGUUGUCUGCAAUUCAAAUUCAAUGUUUGUUUCAAUACCUGUGUUUAUACUAACCGUGUUAGAUGUGUGCGCUUGUAAAUAAUGGUCAAACAACGAGGUAGACGUGCUAAGAAACCCAGGCAAGGUGAUUCAUCCCGGGGUGGAAAAGGAAAACAAGUUAAACUCACUCCCCAACCUAGACUGAAAAUAAGGAAACAAGUUGAUACAGCUGAUGACCAAUCGGGGAGUGAGUACAUGCGAUCUCCAGACUUCUCCUCUAACUUAGUGCCAGCUCCCUCAGUUCCACCUUCACCCAAUGCCCAAGCUCCACAACGAUAUCUUCUGAGUCGUCUGAUGGAUCAGCAGGCGGCAGCAGUACCACCUCCCCCACAGCUUCAUUAUCAGGGUAAAGUGUAGAAGGUGGUGAUGAGGGGAAUAAUGAGGUAACAAUAGAUGGUGUUCUCCAGAUUUGAGGUGUUGCACAAACAAGAAAACCCGUAGCUUGGGAAGAUCGAUUUGUCAUCCAAGUAGCAUUCCACAAGUUUAGGGAAUGGUGGCCACUAUGAAAACUGAUACUUGAGCGGAGCUUCAUUGACUAAGACUUGCUUCCGCUACAUCCUCAUGUGCAAAGAAAUUUUGAGCUCGAGUUGGUUGGGAGCAUUUUGUAGAUGAUUGUGUUAAGGCUAAUGAACACAUGGUCAAGGAGUUCUACUCUAACAUGGCCCAGAUUGAAAAGGGAACCAAAUUGUCUAAAGUGAGGAACCAGAAUAUAGUAUUUACGGGGAAGGCAUUGAAUGAAUACUUAGGGUUCAAUGAUGAAGACGAGAACCUUUACAAUGAGAAGUUGGCUAUACGUGAGGAGGUUCAUCCAUGGUUAGCUUCGUACCUGGCAAUCCUAGGUACUAUUCUAGAUUGGUCGACAAUCGGGGUUAAGAUACUUCGGAGGACCCUCAACUUCGAGGCCAAGGGAUGGUUGACCUUAGCAUGCAACAGACUUGACCCUAUCUCCCAUGAUCAGACUAUUCUGCUUAACCAAGCUGUGCUUAUUGCUUCUACCAUGGCAAGCUACCUAAUCAAUGUCGGCAAUGCUAUGUCUCGUGUGAUUUUUGUGUUGAGGGUUGAGCACAACAGAAACUACCCAUUUACCAAUACCCUCACCAUGUACUUUCAGGAUUUAAAGGUAAAGAAGAAGCCCUAUGAUGUGAAGGUCAAGCCAGUGGCUCCAUUUUCCUGGUUCAACAUGAAGGGGCCAGACAACCCCAAAGACAAAAACUACAAGCCACCUGCCUCUACCCCAACUGGCCAGUCAGAAGAGCCGGUUGCGGUAGAGCCUUCUGCCAAGCCUUCCACUAUGUCUGCUGCCCCUACCAUUGAUGACUUGCCUCCUGACCAUCCACUACUGCUGGUCCUUCUGCUUCAGCUAGCCCGAAGAUCCCACCCUCUCGAGCCCAUCGCAUGACUGCACACCAGCUGGGCCAGACACUUCUUAGUUUGAACAACUACAUGUUAGCUGCGACAUCCAAGUUGUCUAUGUUGUCUUCCGUCAUUGAGGCCCAAUCAGCACCUCAAACAGCUCAACUUCCACAAUCCAUAACAGUAAAGAAGAUCCUUGAAACCAGGAAAGAUUAUGAGCACUCAGUCUACCUUGUCUAAGGUAGUAGAAUGACAUGGCAAGGCUUUGAAUGAGCUUUCCUAGGAGCACAAGAAGAUGAGAAAGACAAGAGCUUCCAAGGAAGAAGUGAAAGGGCUGAGAGCAGAUGUGGACAAGCAGUUGGCACACCAGAUGCCUCUAUAUCUACUAUUUGGGGAUCCAGCCCCAACAGCAAAACAAGCAGCACCAGUUGCAGAGCCAUAAUAAGAAUAGGUUCAGAGGAUUUCUAAGAAGAAGAUGAAGCUCCCUAGUGCAGACGAGGCAGUUAUUCGAGUGGAAAACCCAUAGGAGGUCUUAUCUAGCGGCCCUUAGGAUUCUCCAGACAUUCAACCCGUAGAGGUCCAGGACCUAAUCCCAAUAUCUGAGCAGCAAAGAUCGGGAACCAAUCAGAGGUUCCCGCAUAUACAGAGGACCAUGGGACCAUUGAUGAUCCAAUGUAGACAGACCAGGCUUAGGUUGUCCUCCUAUAUCCUUUAUUUGUUAUUUUUUAUGCUUAUUUGAUAGUUGGCAUUGGGGACAAUGCCAGCUUUUAUUUUUGGGGGUGCGCCCUACUUUUUAUCUGGAUGACUGUAUAUAUUAGUUGACUCAGUUUAUGUUUCUAUUUAUUUUCUAUUUUGGGUUGUAUAUAACUAUACAUUCAUUACUUUUAUCAUACUUUUUAUCUUCUAUUAGGUCUGUAUAUAAAGUUAUAUUUUUAUAUAUAUUCGUCCCGUAUAAUAUAUUCUAACCCCCUAUUAUAAAUAUUCAUUCUAUUUACUAUUUUUGUACAAAUUUUUUAUUUUUAGCUUAGUAGAUAGGCUCGGAGCCUUUUUGAUUUGUUUUUGGAGCUUUCAAUAAGCCCUAGGUUUUCUUAAUGGCACGGUUCUUUCAGAGGGUGAAGUAUUGUGUGAACCGGGUGGCUCUUCCCAAUGAUGGAUGACGUGACAACCUUCUUAACUGUUUGAGUCCGUUUUUUAUUUUUCUUUUAUUUUUAGUAGUUUGUAGUUGAGGGUACCUCAAGAAGAGCUUCAUUUGGAGCUAGCAUAUUUGCCUUUGAUCUCAAAGGUCAAAGACAAAAUAUUGUGUUCAGGAUGGUGAAUGUCGUGUCCUUGAGACUCUUGUGUUGAUCACACAAUCAUCAUAUGGUCUUCCCGGACCAUUGUAUGCUUGAAUUGUAACGAAGGUCAUUGUGGGCCUUCGACUCGAUGUCAUUAGCAAUCCCCUAGCAUGUUCGGUGAGAAAUCAAAUUGCGAGUCCAAAUCCCGAGCUAAUGGUCUAGAAGUUGCCCUAAAUGUUUGUUGAGGCGAAAUCUUAGGUGAAAUUCUACUUGAGAAGUGAUUAUAGUCUCUCCUUGAUCCAAAUGAUUGUUUGAACAAAUCCAUAGCCGACCAUUGGUAAGAUCGCAAGUCAAUCCUUUGAGCCUUAGACCUUCUUCUUUCAAGAACCAUAAUACAAGCCUAAACCCGCUCUCAAUGAUACCCUCUCUUGGCACCUAAAUCUUUCCUUUAAGUUGGAGGGGAGAGACGAGGAGCGAAACAUAGUGGUAAAAAGGCGCAUAAAUGAAGAAAAGGAAAGGCAAUGAAAAAGAAAGAAAGAAAAAGACAAAAAGAAAGUCCAAUGUGAACAAGAAUAAAAAGGGAUCCAAAAGAACAGUGAAAAGGUAUGGAAAAAGUAGAAAAAGGAGAAAUUUUUGGAAUUGUAUAAGAAUGAGUGACAAUGUGUCUCUAUAAUUCUUUAGAAAGAAGUGAAAAGACCCAAAUAGUCAAGGGAAUUUUUAGAAAAGAAUCAAAAGAAGUGCUUAAGGGAAGAUUGAACCCACUUGAAUAAAAAUAUGUCUUACCUUUACCGAAAAGCCUUCACAAUGACUCCAUUAAAGCCCUAUAUGAUCUUGAGUUGAAGAAAGCCUGCAUUAGGGGAUACUUACAUAAGGGGCAAGCAUAUGGUACUUAGAGCCGGACUUAUGACCUUCUUCUUGAGGGAGAGUUGAGAAUGUGUAAGUUUGGGUUCUACAACGACCAAAGUAAGUAAGAGAAGUGCUUUGAUGUAAUGAGUCAACUCUUGAUGCUCUUGUGUUACACUGGAUCCAUGGUUUUUCAAAGUUUAAAUGUGUUAAUGAAGCAUUUGUAUUGAGGGCAAUUGUUAGUCCCAAUUGAUGCUUGUUCGGGUCACUUUAGGAUAGCUAGAAUUACUUGGAUUUCCCUUUUAGGGGUAAGUCUUAUUUUGUUUGCUUGAGGGCAACCAAAGCUUUAAGUUUGGGGGAUUUGAUAAGUUAAAAUUUUAACAUGUUUUAUGCCCCUACUUGCAUGUGCUUUGGUUAUAAAUUGCUAUAAAAUAGUCCAAAAAUGCUCACAAGUUGUGCUUGAUUGUAGGUUUAAUCGACAAAGUGAUGAAAUAUCACAUAUCGGCUCAAAAGGAGUGAAACUUGUUCAUGUUAUCAAAGAUUAAGUGAAUUGAGGAAAAGAGGGCCUACUGCAGACCACUCAAAAGUGAAUGCGGUCGCACUAGAAGAUUCAGAGAGUUGUAUAAUCAUGAUGAAGUCUACAUGGCCACAGUACGUUUCUCGCGGUCAGCGAUCAGGCUUUCGCGACCACACCAUGCUUUUGUGUGGUCUGCAGUCAAGAGAUUCAGAGAACCAUCAUUUGGCCAAGACAAUGCCAUGCGGUCUGCGAUCGUCAUCGCGCGGACCACGCCAGAUCCCCUACGCGGUCGUGGUUCACUUCCACGUGGUCCGCGUCUUCAAGUUCAGAGAAGAAGAAAUGUGAAUUCCAAAGAGCCAGUGCGGCAGCGGAUCAAUUUUGCGGCCCGUACUGACCCCGUAAUGGUAUUUUUGUCCAUUUUUUCCAUCCUACUAUAAAUAGAACAUUUUACCAAUUUUAGGUUAGUUUCUGUACUCCAGACUUAGGUGGGCUCAUGAGACUCGGCUUUGUAGCCAUUUUUGGCACUUUUGCUUUUCAUUAACGAUAUAUUAUUGUCGUUUCUUCUUAGUUAUCAAUUAAGAUGCUUAGUUCUUUAUCUAUUUCUUUAUUUUCUAUAUCUAGCAUGAGUAACUAAACCCAUUAGCUAGGGUUGUGGCUUAACCCUAGUGUGGGUAAUUGAUGGGUGUUUCCAUAUAGGGUUAGAUUGACUAUGGGUAAUUGCUAUUUAGGUAUAUUUUAUGUUUUCAUUCUGUUACAAACAUUGAUUCAAGCUUUGUGGGUUUAACUCUUCUUGAGAAAGAGAGUCUAUGACCCCAAAUUGAUUUUAUGUUUUAAUCUAUGAAUUGGUGGUUGCGAACAUUGAUUUGAGCUUUGUGGAUUUGACUCUUCUUGAGAAAGAGAGUCUAUUUCUCCAAAAUUGAUCCAACAAGGAAUUGGAAUAGACUCACGAGAAAUGAUAGUCCCAAUUAACGAGUUAAAUCUCGAGAGAGUAAUCACCCUACUUGAACCCUGGUUGCUUGGUCUAAUUUGCCUACCCAUUUGGUCUCAAGAGAGUCAAUUAGGCAAAAUCACUCUCUCUACCGAGAGGUGUGAGAGUGGGUAAACUCUUGGUCUAAUUGUCCUACCCAUUUGGUCUCGAGAGAGUCAGUUGGGAAAAAUUACUCUCUCUAGUGAGAGGUGUGAUAGUGGAUAAAAUUAUGCAACGGCUAUAGCAUAAGUCCCAAAUGUCUCAAUCUAAUCCAAGUAACAUCCACCAGUCAAUUAGCCACCUAGGUAGUGUCAUGACCCUAGUGCCCUUCUUCCCGUUAGAUACAACUUACCAAUAUUCUUGUAGAUUAAUUUAUUGAUAAUCUUUAGUUUUAUAAAAGUAGUUAUAAUUCAAAAACUCCAAAAUGUUUGAAGUGACAUUAGGAGUACAAACAUAUCUCUAGACUAGACAUAAAAUCCAACUCCACUACUAGCUCCAUGAGGAAAUCGAUCCUGACCUCUAUUCGGGUAAAAGCAAUAGCGACCUGCUCUUCCUGCCAUAGUGUAGUGUCGAGUUGGUAUCGAUCAAUACGCAUUCACAUCUGCUUCGGGAUCAUUUCCUUCAACAUCUCCCAAAUAUAAUUUCCCUCUUAGCAAUACCGUUUUGAUGAUAUAUGGGCCCUUCCAGUUAGGAGCGAAUUUUCCUUUUGCUUCCUGGUGAUUGGGAAGAAUGCACCUUUACACAAGUUGCCCCAAUUCGAAAUUUCUGGGCCACACUUUCUUAUUGUAAGCACGGGCCAUUCUUUGUUGGUAUAACUGCCUGUGGCAAACCGAAGCCAUUUGCUUUUCAUUAAUCAGGGUCAACUAUUCCAGACGGGUCUUGACCCACUCACUGUCUUUAUUUUCAGCUUCGACAAUGGUCCGGAGGGAAAGGAUUUCGACUUCCACGGGUAUUAUGGCUUCAGUGCCAUAGACCAAGAGGUAUGGGGUUUCUCCUACCGAUGUGCGCAAGAUAGUGUGAUAUCCCAGUAAUGUAAAAGCAAAUUUUCAUGCCACUGCAUGGAUCUCUGAAUCAUCUUUCUCAAAAUCUUCUUGAUGUUCUUGUUUGCUGCUUUGAUGGCACCAUUGGCGUUAGGCCGAUAAGGAGAAGAGUUCCUAUGCGUUAUUUUGAAUUGUUCGCAUAUCUCCUCCAUCAAACGACUAUUCAGGUUUGCAGCAUUAUCUGUGAUGAUAGUUGCAGGAAUACCAAAUCGACAGAUAAGAUUGGAGUGCAUGAAAUUUACUAGAGCUUUCUCGGUGACAGAUUUGAGAGUAAUGGCUUCAACAUAUUUCGUGAAGUAGUCAAUCGCAACCGGCAUGAAUCUGUGCCCAUUUGAGACUUUUGGCUCGAUUAGCCCAAUGACGUCCAUGCCCCAAGCAACAAAUGACCAAGGUGCUGAUAUGGGAUGCAGUUCUGUGGGAGCAUGAAAUCUACCAUAGCUUUCUUGGUGAUAGAUUUGAGAGUGAUGGCCUCAACCCAUUUCGUGAAGUAGUCAAUGGAAACCAGUAUGAAUAUGUGCCCAUUUGAGGCUUUCGGCUCGAUUUUCCCAAUAACAUCCAUGCCCCAAGCAAAAAAUGGCCACGAUUCUGACAUGGGAUGCAGUUCUGGGGCUGUGCAUGAAUCAAAUCACCAUGAACCUGACAUUGAUGGCACUUUUGGACAAAGCUGAAACAGUCCUUUUCCAUGGUUAUCCAGUAAUAGCCCGCUCAAAGGAUUUUCUUUGCUAAAAUAUACCCGUUCAUGUGGGGUCUGAACACUCCCGCGUGCAUUUCAUGCAUGAUUUUUCCAGCCUCUUCUACGUCAACACAUCUUAACAAGUUGAGGUCCGGAAUUCUUUUGUACAAGACAUAACCACUCAAAAAUAGACCACUCGCGUGCCAUCUAAUGGUUCUAUUUUUGUUCCCACUCACUUGCUCAGGGUAUUCUUGCGUUUUUAGAAAUCUUUUGAUGUCAUGGUACAAUGUCAGGGUAUUUGGUCCUACUUCAACUGUAUUGCGAUAACCAUGCCUUUCCUGGAUUUGGAUUUCCAAGGGAUCUAUGUGAGCAUUUCCUGGACACGGCAGCACUAAGGCCAAAGUAGCAAGUGCAUCGGCCAAUUUGUUGUGACAACGAGAGAUGUACCUGAACUCUAUUGACUUGAAUCGCCUGCUAAGAUCUUCCACAUGCUACCUAUAAGGGAUAAGCUUGACAUCUCGGGUUUCCCAUUCUCCCUGAGCUUGUCAGAUAAUCAGAUCUGAGUCUCCCAUGAUUAACAAUUCUUUGACGCGAUGGUCGAUGGCCAUGUUUAUACCCAUAAUGCAAGCUUCAUACUCGGCAGUGUUCUUUGCGUAGAAAAACAAAGCCAGACUGUGGAUGGGUAAUGUUGACUAAUGAGCGAGAUCUAAAUUGCCCCAAUUCCCACACCUUUUGCAUUUACCGUUCCAUCAAAGAACAUUUUCCAAGCAGUAGUAUCCUCGGAUAUUGCCCCGACUGAGUAUACCUCUUCAUCUGGGAGGUAAAUGUUCAAAGGUUGGUAUUCAUCAUCAACAAGGUUUUCACUUAAAUUAUCCACCAACACCUACGUUUCAUCGUCGUGUGAGUGACAUAGACUAUAUCAAAUUUAAUGAUUAGGAUCUGCCAUUUUGGUAAUCUUCUUGUGGGCAUUGGUUUCUAGAAUAUGUAUUUCAAGGGAUCAAACCUAUUUAUGAGGUAUGUGGUGUAGGCUUGUAGAUAAUGUCUCAACUUAUAAGCAACCCAAGUUAAGGCACAACAGGUUCUCUCUAGCAAAGUAUACUUAGCUUCAUAACUGUUAAACUUCUUGCUCAAAUAGUAUACAGCCUGCUCUUUCUUUUCGGUUACAUCGUGUAUCCGGAGUACACAACCAAAAGAAUUCUCCAAGACUGUCAGAUACAAGAAUAGAGGCCUCCCCAGUUCAGGUGGGACUAGGACUGGUGGUUUAAACAAAUACUCUUUGAUAUUAUCAAAAGCUUCUUGACAUUCAUCCGUCCACUUGAUAGUCGCAUCUUUCUUCAACAAUUUGAAUAUGGGUUCACACGUGGAUGACAACUGAGCAAUGAACAGGCUGAUAUAGUUCAAUCUGCCCAGUAAGCUCAUCACAUCCUUCUUGGUUCUCAGAGGAGGCAAAUCACGAAUAGAUUUUAUCUUUGUUGGAUCUAACUCAAUACAUUUCCGGCUGACUAUAAAGCCCAAACUUUUGCCCGAUGGGACUGCAAAUGCACAUUUGGUUGGGUUCAUCUUCAAAUCGUAGUUGUGCAACCACUCAAAGAAUUUCCUCAAGUCUCGAACAUGGUCAUCCUAUGUUUUGGACUUGAUGAUUACGUCAUCCAUAUACACCUCUAUCUCUUGGUGCAUCAUAUCAUGGAAAAUGGCAGUCAUGGCCCUCAGUUAGGUUUCCCCAGUAUUCUUUAGAUAAAAUGGCAUGACUCCAUAACAGUAUGUAACUCAAGGUGUGAUAAAAGCUGUCUUUUUUGCAUCUUGUUCAUCCAUCAACACCCGGAGUUAUCCUGCAUAAUAAUCCAUGAAUGACUGUAUCUCAUUUGGCACAGUUAUUAACAAGGAUGUGGAUGUUUGGCAAAGGGAAGUUAUCUUUGGGACUUGCCUUGUUUAGAUCUCUGUAAUCUUAGAUCUCUGUAAUCCACACACACUCGGGUUUUCCCAUCUUUUUCGGUAUUGGACCUACAUUGGCAAGCCAUGCGGUGUACUGGACCACUCGGAUCACCCCUGGUUUCAUCAUUUUUGUGACUUCUUUUUUGAUCUUAUUACUAACAUCAGUUUUGAAUUUUCUUUGCUUUUACUGGAUAGGGGGUAAUCGGGGUAAGCUGGUAACUUAUGAACCACAAAAAUUGACUCUCAAUCCCAGCAUGUCAUCGUAGGACUAAGCAAACACAUCUUUGAACUCAAACAGGAGUUGGAUUAAUGCAUCCCGAAUUUUUCAUUUGUGUGAAUGCUUAUCUUAGUUUUCCUGAUUUCUUCAGAAUUACCCAAAUUAACCGUCUCAGUUUCAUCUAAGUUCAGCUUAGGUUUAUUCUCCAAUUGUUUCAAUUCUUAAUUUAUUUCCCUAAAAGACUCUUCUUCAUCAUAUUCCGGCUCUUGGUUCAUUAUUUCACAGUUAGAUAGCAUGUGUAAAUUUGGGCAUGAAGUCCGUAAGCAUGUCAUGUUAUUUAAAGCCGAAUUAUUAGAACUGAAAGAAGAAAUAAAAAUAACAAAAAUAAAAAAAAUAAAGAAAGAUGGACAAUGAAAUAUUAAUUUCAUUUCAUUCAAUUUGGAACAUAACAGGGUUUAUAUUGGAAAUUAAAAGACAUGAAACUAAAGAAAAACAUCCGAAUUACACCCUAGAAUAACUCGUGAUGUAGAAAAUGUUACAUGAGAGGUCUACCAGGGCUCCCGCCUGAUUGGUAAUGGAGUAGCCUUCUAAUUUUACAGUUUGGCCUCAGGUCCCAUAUACAACACCUCAUCAGUGCUUGAGUCUUCCCCUGGGUGAAUUAUGUGGGUUUCAUACAGUAUCUUCCUUAUUGCCCCACGGAUCUCUUCUUCUUCAUUUUAUUUGGGGUUGACGAAUAUUUUAUACAGAUGUGGCAUUAUGGGCUAGCAUUGGGUUGUUGGUCACAUUGGGAAUAUCUUCAUCCCUCAGCACUAUGUUCCUUUGUUUUAUCAAGUUCUCCACGGCUCUCUUCAUAGUCCAGCAAUCAUCCGUGUCAUGCCCUUCUACCCCCUAAGUGAUAGGCGCAUCGGCUACCAGCCUUGUAAACGAGUGAUGCCGGGUUCUACCUGGUUUGGGGAACAGGCUGCUUCAGACCUAUUUGAACAAGUUUGGGUAAUAGGUUGGAAUAGAAUUCACCGGUUGGUGUGAAAUUUGGCCUCUUGGGUGGUUCAUGGGCGUGGAAAUUAUUUUGUGGAGGUCGGGGUUUGUAGUGAGUUUGGUAAGGAGGUUGGUUUCUAGGAAAUGGAACUUGGUUUCGAUUGGCUUGUUGUUGUGGUCGGACAUAAGUUUUACCAUUUAUGACCGUGUAUAGCUGAGGAGCAUAAGCCACAUCCUCGUGAGGGUAAUAGUGAUGCAGGGUUCUCUCAGAUAAAAAUGAUCUGGGAGUACGGUGUUUUCUUGCACCUGACGCUGCUAUUGAUGUUUCUUCCUUUUUCUUUCUAUUUGCUACUCCUCGAGACCCCCCUUGUAUGUCUUGGGAGGUAGCCAUGAUAGCAGAUUGGCUCACAAUUCGACCUAUUUUCAACCCCUUUUCAACCAUUUUGCCAAUCUUGAUGGCUUCAACGAACGACUUACCUAUCGUGGACAUCAUGUUUUGGAAGUAAUAGACCUCUUGGGCUUGGAGGAAAACUAUAACCAUUUCAAUCUUAUCCAUCAGAGGCUUACCCUUGAGGCAUGCUCAAUCCGCGGCCGUGGUCGCCUUUGCGCAAUCCGCGGUAGGUGUUGCACGGUCGCGGUCGGUUUGGUGCGGUCCGCAUUGGGCAGUAAUCCGCAGGCCUUCAGGGAAGUGCGGCCGCGGUCCUUUUUCUGAGGUCCACACAGGGAACCUCAAAGGGGUAUAAAUACAUGUGAAUUUCAGUUAUUUUACACUUUUCAAAAACUACAAAACAUAAGAGACGAUUUUUCAAACAACUCUUCUUCUCCAAAACGAUUGGUAAGUGAUUUCUUACUCAUUUUAUUUACUCCAUAACAUCUUUUAACUUGAUUUCAACUUAAAAUCAAAGAUUUUCAUGGGGAAAUUGGGUAUUUUGGGUAAAACCUAGGUUUUUCUAAAAAUUGGGGAGUUGGACCUCAAUUUGAGGUUUGAUCUCAAAACAAAUCACAUAUUUGGAUUCGUUGAGGGAAUGGUUAACCGGGUUAUGGUCCGAACCUCUAGUUUCGAUCUCGUGGGCCCAGAAACAUUUUUUACCUUUUGGGGUAAAACUUUGUAAUACUUAUUUUUAUGCAUCAAGGUUGAUUCAUUUAGCAUUUGUUAAUGAGAUUAAGUAAUUUAUGAUUAGAUUCGAGCGGAUUGGUCCUGGAACUAAGGGGAAAAGCUAUCGUUGAGGAUUGAGUUGAAUUCAAGGCAUUGAGGUAAGUGUUCGGUUUAAUAUUAGAAUGAGAGAUUAGGAGCUUAGUCUUAUGUGCUAAUGUCUCUUUGUUGAGUACGACGUAUAGGCAUGGUAACGAGUAUCUAUACGUUGGUUUUAAGCAUAACCGUGGGUCCUAAAUUGGAAGUUGUUGUAUUCUUAUAUGACAUCAUGUAUGCCUUAACUAAUGAUCUACCGUAUUGGGCAAAGAUUUGUUAUCCUCUUAGAUUCUAAUUGUGAUUGAGUAUCGUCAUUAAUCAAACUGAGUUAAGUUUGGUUAUAGUUGAUGCUCCCAUGGUGGGAAGAUUGAUUCUAUAUUGUUGUUCCCUUACCGUGAAGUUAUAAUCUUACUUUUUUCCCUUACCGGGAUUUCUUGUGAUUAUGUGAUAACAUUAAAUAGGAGCGGGUGGCACGCUUACCACAAAAUAUUGAAAUGGGAGCAGGUGGUACGCCUACCACAAGAUACUAAAUUGGGAGCGGGUGGUAUGCCUAGCACAAGAUAUUAAAAUUGGAGCGGGUGGUACGCCUGCCACAAGAUAUUGAAAUGGGAGCGGGUGGUAUGCCUACCACAAGAUAUUGAAGCGGAAGCGGGUGGUACGCCUACCACAAGAUAUUGAAAUGGGAGCGGGUGAUACGCCUACCACAAGAUACUGAAAUUGGUGCGGAUGGUACGCCUACACCAAGAUAUUGAAAUGGGAGCGGUUAGUACGUUUACCACAAGAUAUUGAAAUGGGAGCGGGUGGUACCCCUACCGCAAGAUAUUGAAAUGGAAGCGGGUGGUACGCCUACCAGAAGAUAUUAAAAUGGAAACGGGUGGUAUGCACACCACGAGAUAUAAUGAAAUGAGAUCGGGUGGUACGCCUACCACAAGAUAUAAUAAAAUGAGAUUGGGCGGUACGCGUACCAUGAGAUAUGAGAAAUGGGAUCGGGUUGCACGCUUGCAACAAGAUUGAAACUGAAAGUAAAAGUUGUCUUUACUUCUUUUUACCUGCGUUAGAAGUUAAAUUAUAGUUUUUUCCUUAUUGUUUUUUAUAUUCUAUUUAUCUGUCAUCCCCACAACAUUUUCCUAUUCCCCAGCUAUAUUAUAUAAUUGCACUGGCUUAUCAGGAAUCUGGUCCUAGCCUCGUCACUACUUCGCCGAGGUUAGGCCAGACACUUACGAGCACAUGGGGUCUGUUGCGUUGAUGCUACACUCUGUGCUCUUUUGCACAGAUCAGGUGUCGGAGUAGCCUUUGAGCAGCAGUACUAGAUUGGGAGCCAGCCUUUACUCUACCGACAAACUGACGUAGCCUUGCAGACGUCUGCAGGCCCGGAGUCUCCACUAUCUUGCUUUUUAUUUUGUUAUCUCAUGUAUUCCGAGACAAACAAUGUUAUAUUCUUUUCAUGGUUGUGUGUAGUACUCUUAGUGGUUCGUGAAUAUGUGACACCAGUUCUUGGGUAGAGAUUAUGUUGAUUUCUCCGCAUUGUUGUUCAGAAAUCUUUAAUUUAAGAUUUCCGCUUAUUUAUUUUAUCUGUAGUUUCAUGGUAUUACCGAUAACUGCUAAAAGGAAUAAAUCAGUUAUGAAAAAGGUAUUUAAAAAUUGGCUUGCCUACCUCUCAUUAAUAUGCGUCAUCGUGACUUCCCAGGGUGAGAAUUCCAGGUCGUGACACCUCACAAAUAACCCUUUUGGCCCAAACGAUACUGACCGUAUGACUUAAUUCAACAUUACCCAAAACGAACUUGACACUUAAUCCACUCAAUUCAAACGACUUCAAAUUAAUUUAAAACAAACCUUGACUUCCGUUUUAUGUGAAAUCAGAUUGGUAAUAUAUAUUAAUUAACAAACCGAGCAAACAUGAAAAAGCAAGCUUUGUUUUGAUAUUAGACUCCCACCACAGUGAUCCAUAAACAUCUGAUUUAAGCUUAUAACAAUACAUUUGCAUAUGUAACCAACAAAAAUUUGUUUUCGACCAAAGACAUACACCCAAUUACAUUAGGUAUUAACAGAUUUGCACUAACUAAAAUGGCUGCCAUAAAACUUCAGUUUUAGGAGCAUAGCACAACCCUUUUAACCAAACACACUCCAGACCUUUAAGAAUCGAAAUGAAAAUUAACAGUUAGAAAAGAAAUAGAACUUAGGUCAGAUUUGCAUAGCAACUAAAUGAGUGAAUACAUAUCAUACUAAACAUGGAACAAAUUGUAAACCAAGUGCAUCUGAACAAAUGCGGGCAGAAGGUGUUUUUCUUGCAAAUCCAUCCAACAUAAAAAUGUAAAUGAACUUAUAGCAACUCCUCAAUGACAUAAAUGGAAGUGACAGACUACAGAUACACUAAAUGAACACAAAAUUCAUCAGGAAAACACAACUAGUAUUUAGUAUCAAGAGACUACUGCACAUCUUGAACUCCCAAUCGGUUUCAUGGCUUCAAACUCACAUGUCAUACAUUCAUGGGUCUAAGAAAGUACUUGUGACGAAAAGGAACAAGAACUAGGGAUAUCAGCAACAGGCACUAUCAGCCAGCCCAGGGUAAACAAACCAAUGAAACGGUGAAUCUCCACAACCAACCAAAACCAGCUUUAAAAUAUUCAAAUCACCCCAUCUUCAACCCCAGAUAAAUCAAAGGUAACUUCAGAAAUUUUAAACUCCCGAAUGAGAGAAGGAACUUAACUUGAACAGUGGAAAGUCUUAAAUCAACUCUAAACAAAAAGUUCAAACCAUUUGUUUUCCACCUGAAAUGUAGUUAAGGGAAGUUUCUAAGUAUUCUGCAGAAAUUUUGAUGGUUUUCUCACAUUGAAAAUGCAGGAACUUAAGAACUUAAAAUAUUCGGCCAUUUCAGCUUUUGAAUUUUUAUCUCUUCAGAGUAUACCUUCAAUGCCAAGUAAAGGUGUCUUUAUAGGCAAGGUUCUAGGGCAUAAAAAAAUCAGUUUUUGCCCAUUAAACCUUUUCAAAUUUUACUUUUUGCUACUUAAUCAUUAAAAUUUUGACUUGUUUGUUAAGCCUGUCUUUUAGCUUCCAGGAAGCUUCCUAAGUCUAUUACUGAUAGAUUCCCUAAGAAGAUUUCCUAGACUCUUGGACUAAUCCCCCUCCCUUUGCCCCAAAAAUCCAGUUCCAACACUCAAAUGGGCAGAAAAACUAGACGGGCAAAAAAGGCCGGUAGUCCUUUAGACCUUUAGACCAAAUGGUCUUAGUACAACCCAAUACUUAAAUAAAACAGCAAAUUAAACGAAAGUUAACAUGAUGAAUCCAAAUAAACUAAAGGAAAAACAAUGGCAAUUACGCCUUAACUGAACUAAAAUGUUUUUUUAAGAAAACAAAAAGGAAGAAUAAAAAACAUAGAGGUAGAUAGUAAUAACAAAAAGAAGAAAAAUGGAAAAAAAAUAAAAUCAGGCAUACCUCCCAAAACUAACGGACAACCAUCUUGAAAUCAACCUCACUGAAUCCUCAAAUUUUGACCGAGAUAGACCUUAAUUAUGUGUUCUCGACUGAGACUAAAAUCGAUUUCGACCUCAAAACCUUGCUGAUUUGGAGUUUUGAGAUUUUAGGGUUCGUCUUUUGAAAUCCAGAUCCGAGAGAUUUUGGGAGUAUUUGAAGGAAAAUAAAUGGAGAUUUGGAAUGAGGAGGUCAUGGAGCUUAUGGGGUGUAAUUUUGGUGGAGAGCAGAGGUGGCACCGCCACCCCAAAGUGGUGGAGAAAGGGGCGGAGCUAGGGUUCUAAAGGUUGUCUCUGAAGAAAGAGUGUAUGAGUGACACGACUUAGGGGGAGGGGUAGCGGAUUCAAAUAGUCUUACAUUAAUG
rnacentral:lncRNA from 1 species